rnacentral:rRNA from 1 species
AUUGAACGCUAGCGGGAUGCUUUACACAUGCAAGUCGAACGAGUGGCGGACGGGUGAGUAAUAUCUCGGAACGUGCCCAUUAGAGGGGGAUAACUACUCGAAAUAGUGGCUAAUACCGCAUCCUCUUGGAGCUGCCCAUAUUGGAUUAGCUCGUUGGUGGGGUAAAGGCGCACCAAGGCAACGAUCCGUAGCUGGUUUGAGAGGAUGACCGGCCCAACUGGGACGGAGACACGGGCCAGACUCCUACGGGAGGCAGCAGUGGGGAAUUUUGGACAAUGGGGGAAACCCUGAUCCAGCCAUGCCGCGUGUAGGAGAAGGCCGUCGGGUUGUAAAGUACUUUUGGCAGAGAAGCGGUAUCGGCAGAAUAAGCACCGGCUAACUACGUGCCAGCAGCCGCGGUAAUAC